CCUACGGGAGGCUGCAGUGAGGAAUAUUGGUCAAUGGCCGCAGGGCUGAACCAGCCAAGUCGCGUGAGGGAUGACGGUCCUAUGGAUUGUAAACCUCUUUUGUCAGGGAGCAAAGGGCGCCACGUGUGGCGCUUUGCGAGUACCUGAAGAAACAGCAUCGGCUAACUCCGUGCCAGCAGCCGCGGUAAUACGGAGGAUGCGAGCGUUAUCCGGAUUUAUUGGGUUUAAAGGGUGCGCAGGCGGAAUGUCAAGUCAGCGGUAAAAUUUCGGGGCUCAACCCCGUCGUGCCGUUGAAACUGGCGUUCUUGAGUGCGCGAGAAGUGUGCGGAAUGCGUGGUGUAGCGGUGAAAUGCAUAGAUAUCACGCAGAACGCCGAUUGCGAAGGCAGCAUACCGGCGCUCAACUGACGCUCAUGCACGAAAGCGUGGGUAUCGAACAGGAUUAGAUACCCGUGUAGUC
rnacentral:rRNA from 1 species